rnacentral:rRNA from 1 species
UACGUAGGGUGCAGGCGUUAAUCGGAAUUACUGGGCGUAAAGCGUGCGCAGGCGGUUUCUUAAGUCAGAUGUGAAAGCCCCGGGCUUAACCUGGGAACUGCGUUUGAAACUGGGGAGACUUGAGUGUGGCAGAGGGGGGUGGAAUUCCACGUGUAGCAGUGAAAUGCGUAGAUAUGCGGAGGAACACCGAUGGCGAAGGCAACUCCCCUGGGCCUG